UGGGCAACCUGCCCUCAGCACUGGGAUAACUCCGGGAAACCGGGCUAAUACCGGAUACGACCUCCGACGGCAUCAUCUGGAGGUGGAAAGCUCCGACGGUCAAGGAUGGGCUCGCGGCUUAUCAGCUUGUUGGUGAGGUAACGGCUCACCAAGGCUUCGACGGGUAGCCGGCCUGAGAGGGCGACCGGCCACACUGGGACUGAGAUACGGACCCCG
rnacentral:rRNA from 1 species